rnacentral:rRNA from 1 species
UACGUAGGGGGCAAGCGUUAAUCGGAAUUACUGGGCGUAAAGCGUGCGCAGGCGGUUCGUUGUGUCGGCGGUGAAAGCCCCGGGCUUAACCUGGGAAUGGCCGUCGAAACUGGCGAACUGGAGUGUGGCAGAGGGGGGUGGAAUUCCGCGUGUAGCAGUGAAAUGCGUAGAGAUGCGGAGGAACACCGAUGGCGAAGGCAGCCCCCUGGGCUGACACUGACGCCUCAGGCACGAAAGCGUGGGGAGCAAACAGGAUUAGAUACCCGUGG